ACGGGAGGCAGCAGUGGGGAAUAUUGCACAAUGGGGGAAACCCUGAUGCAGCGACGCCGCGUGGAGGAAGAAGUAUUUCGGUACGUAAACUCCUAUCAGCAGGGAAGAAAAUGACGGUACCUGACUAAGAAGCCCCGGCUAACUACGUGCCAGCAGCCGCGGUAAUACGUAGGGGGCAAGCGUUAUCCGGAUUCACUGGGUGUAAAGGGAGCGUAGACGGCAUGGCAAGCCUGAUGUGAAAACCCGCAGCUCAACUGCGGGCCUGCAUUGGGAACUGUCAAGCUAGAGUACUGGAUGGGCAGGCGGAAUUCCUGGUGUAGCGGUGGAAUGCGUAGAUAUCAGGAGGAACACCGGUGGCGAAGGCGGCCUGCUGGACAGAUACUGACGUUGAGGCUCGAAAGCGUGGGGAGCAAACAGGAUUAGAUACCCUGGUA
rnacentral:rRNA from 1 species